rnacentral:rRNA from 1 species
AUUGAACGCUGGCGGCAGGCUUAACACAUGCAAGUCGAACGAGUGGCGGACGGGUGAGUAAUGCUUGGGAAUCUAGCUUAUGGAGGGGGAUAACUACGGGAAACUGUAGCUAAUACCGCGUACCAUAGGAUGAGCCCAAGUGGGAUUAGGUAGUUGGUGAGGUAAAGGCUCACCAAGCCGACGAUCUCUAGCUGGUCUGAGAGGAUGACCGGCCACACUGGGACUGGGACACGGCCCAGACUCCUACGGAAGGCAGAGGUGGGGAAUAUUGCGCAAUGGGGGAAACCUGACGCAGCCAGGCCGCGGGAAUGAAGAAGGCCUUCGGGUUGUAAAGUUCUUUCGGUAGCGAGGCGUUAACUACAGAAGAAGCACCGGCUAACUCCGUGCCAGCAGCCGCGGUAAUAC